UCUGAUCCAUGAUGACUACUAAACACAGGACUGUUGGAUGACGUGUGCGGAUAUGGGACUGAGAUCAGCU